GGGAAGUCAUUUACAAAGCACAAAGUCAAAGGUGUCGAGACGGAGGACACAGGCCCUGAACCCCAAGCAGGGCCCUUCUAGGCAGCAGCCCUGGGACGGCACUGGCCACUGAUGUCCCGGUCAGCAGCUCUGCCCUGAACAUCAACAGAGCUUCGCUCUAAGGGCAUCAGGAAGCCCAGAGCCGAAACUAAUCCCCCAGGGUUCUUCUCUGGGAGGGGCAGGAGGGCUUCAGCUUCCCCAUGUCCCCUCAAGGCUGUCCUCCUCUGUGUCUGUGUCCUGGUCCCCUCUUCUCAUCAGGACACUAGGCAGACUGACUGAGGGCCACCCAGAGGGCCCACUAGCCUUGACUUCUGCAAGGCCUUUCUCUCCACGCUCUGAGGUCUGAAUCCAGGGGACACGUUCAUCCCGUAGCCCUUCCCUUCACCCUCCCUGUGUGGCUGUGGACAUGGGUAGCCCUCCCCGCCUCGUCCCCCAGCUGCAGCCCAGGGAGGUGCUGCGUCUGCUGCAAACGAGGAGGCGCCUGAGGUUGCUGGUGUCCCUGGCUAUGGAGGGGAGGAGGGACGGCGCCCCUGGUUGCAGGAGCACUGGUGCCCCCGACUCACUGUGGGCAAGCGGUAGGCCCGAGAGGCGGUGCCACCUCCUGCUGCUCCAGAGGUGGUGCCCGUGGCCACGCAGCUGCAGGGCCAGUCUAGAGCGCUGGCUCCCGGAGGGUGGCUCCCGAGUGGGGAAGCAGGGUGGACGCCCUUGGAAGCCACGGUGUGGCCUGGGCUCUGUGACUCCCCACUGUGCCACCCUCAGGCGCGUUUUGGUUUGGGCUCUGAUAACAGCUGUAUUCAAAGGAGCCCCAAACUGGAAACGCCCCGCAGAGCAUUGACUGGUGAGUGGCUCAGCACCCUGGGGCAGCCAGACCACGGAACUCUCCUGGUGAUGGGAGGGGCCACCGCAGCUGCCCCAGAGCCAGGAAGGUCUCCGAGCCCGGGAGAGGAGGGACGCUGCGGCCACUGCCCCAACCCACCUGCACGACACUUGGCUAAAGACCCUUUAGUCUUCAGAGCAGUUUUGGGUUCACCGCAAAACUGAGGGGGACGGACAGAGUGGCCGAGUUGCCCCUGGGCAUUCUUGACCUCUCCAUCUGUGACGGGGUACACAGAGGACUGAGCGGGACGCAGGGGUCCUCAGGCUGUGGGAGCACUUCAUCCUCGGGAGAGUGUGGCACCCUGGCCAGGGUUCAUCCUCAGAGGCUCCACAGACCCUUGGUGGGGCCAUCGGGGUUUGCAGAUCGUGGGGGAGACUGGUCUCUGCUCCCACCCAGAAGGUUCUAGAAAGGUGCCCCAUCUCACUGCUCAGAGCUGAGGAAGAGGAUCCUUUCAGCUCCCCUGGCCUCCCGAGAGUCCUGCCGUUUGCUGUAAUGAUGGAAAACUACCAGGCUGCCCAGGAGCGUGUUAUCUGCCAUCAGCCAGAGGCACCGGGGCCCAGGGCAGCCGGCAGGAGGAUGGGGCGUUCCCGUGCUGGAGAAGGAGGGGACCCUGUGGCUACCCUUACCCCUGACGCUCCACCAGCAGUAGGGGCUGUGUUGGACUCCGGCCAGGCUCCACCUAGCACCAGGAGGGGUCCCCGGAGCCUGGAAUAAGAUGGAAUGGCUUUCCCUGGCCAUGGGGGCUCAAACUGGCUCGGUUACCUCCCUGCUGUGUGUCUCAGCACAUGCUCCACCUCUCUGAGCUGAUCCUGUGGACAGCUGUUUCUUUACCACUUAAAACACCAGGCAGCAUGGCGGUCUUCACGCCCAUCCCGAAGGCCCAGCCUCCCAAGUCCCCCAGUGUCUUGUCACCUGAGGACAGGGAGGCUGAGACAUGCGGCAGGCAGGCCAGGAUCCCACUCAGAACAGACUGUGGCUGGAGCUGAACUCCAACCACACAAAGGGGGCCCCGGGAUGCAGCCCAGUGGGCCAGACUCAGAUCAGGGCUCCUGAGCCGCAGGGCCUCCCAUCCCAAGAACCUGCCUCCUCCUAGGGCACCGCUGCUCUGUGUUGGGGUCCCAGCCAAGGCACAGUGACUGGGACCCCAUAGCUCUGAGGCACCCAGCCCCCAAGGAGAGGACAGGGAGCAUGCACACACCUCCCCUUGUGUGGCAGGACCACAGGAGGGCCUUCUUUGUCCUCGUCGGGCCAGCACAGGGGCAGCAGUGAGCAGGGACCGACCCACCUGCUGGACAAGGAGAUCUAGAGUAAGCCUCCAUCAACAGACGCUGGCUCAGACCUCAACCUGCACUGCAGCAGGGGGCAGAGGGUGCCAAAGGAAGCCCCGGGGGUCACCCCAAGUGUGCCUGCUCCACAUAGGUACUUCUGAGGUGUAGGCGAUUAGGAAUCAGCCGACAGAGGAAGAAGGCUCUCUACCCCUGGCCUUGCCUCUCAGGACAGAUUCUCCCACAGUACAAUACAUCCUGCUUUCUGCAGACCACCCCUACCCCUCAGGGUCGGCACCAGGGGAACCCCAGUGAGCCUCCCUCCGGUCCUUCCUCGCAGGCGCCUUCCCGCGUGCCUGCCUCUGGAGGCCUGCACUGCUUCUCUGAAGCCCAGGGCUCCUGGGGAAAGUGGCCUGUGAGUCCCACUCCUAGGCCUACAGGGAGCUCCCUGCAUCCAGGAUCAGCUAUGUGACGCCUGGCGCAUGCACUGGCAAAGCCCUGCUUCUCCUGUUGGUCUCUGGCGGGAGGGACCUGUCCAGCUGCGUUUAGGAGGUUGAGGAGAGAUCAUAAGUCCUCUGAGGGGGCAGGGCUGCGGUGUGGAGGGCUCAGCCGGACAGCACAGCACUGUCCAGCUCUGUCCAGCUGUGCUGUGGAGCCCAGCACCCCGGCUGCAGAUGGCAGAGCUGGGGCGGGCGUGCUGCCCGGGUCCAGGCGUGGAAACGCUCACACCCCUCUCUUUUCAUCUGCUCCCUCCGCAUUCCUGAGACCAGCUCAGGUGAAUAUUUCAGCAAAGGACCCAGAGGGGGGUCCCCAGGUCAGAUCCCACUCGAAGCCCAGCGGCCAAAAGUGAGGUGAAGCCCACUGACCACUUGGACAGAGGUGGGAACCACAGGAAGCCGGGGUGGUGCCAGGAGUGUGUGCUGGCCCCCUGAAGCCCCUCUGGCUUCUGGAAAGCUGCAGGCUGGCCACCCACGGGCCUGGUGACCGCUGCCCUCGGGUGUCCUUGCCUGCAGGGCACUUACUUCCUCUAAGGCAGGGACUGGUGCCCUGGGAACGAGCGGGAGGACUCUGCUGCCUCUGUCCCUCUGAAACCUCCUUCCCUGGGAAGGUCUCUCCCUGGACCAUGCUGGUGGCUGCUGGGGCAGCGCUGCCCUCUGCCCAGGCCUGCCUCGAGGCCCUCUCCAGCCUCCCAUGAGUGACACUGCUUGGGCUGUGGCCUGGGCUGGGCUGAACUGCUGGAGACUGGACGCCCCUUCAGGAACCUGACCACCCUGACAGGCGCCCCAGCAGGGCCGCCAUCGCCAGCUCCCAGGGACAGGAGCGGAGCUCGGAGCAGCGGCAGGAUCCCAGCCCCCCGUCCUGUGGAGCCAUAAAACUGCAGCAGCCACGCUCAUGGCUCGUUGGGGUGAUUUGCUCCUGCGCAGGGAGGACAAAUCUCCACAUAAAGCUCUUCCCUCAGCCGUCGGCACUGAGAGUCCUCGUCCCCUGCAAGUGCAGAGGCUGCUCAGACACAUGACUCCACUCCUGGGGGGACGCAGCCCCAGCCGUUCUCACUGCAAAACGGUAAACCUGUCGCUCUAAUGAACAGCUUUCAUUUGGAGCGCCGCCGUGAGAAGGUGCGCCUGGGGACAGUGGCUGUUGAUGGUGAGGCCCAGCCUCCUGCCACCGCCUGAUUCCUGUGCAAGACAGCUGCCUGCAGGCUCAGGGACAGCCCAGGCCAGACAAAAUCGAUACAUCCUAGAAACAUGAGGAGAGCUGACCUGGAGGUUUCCAGUGAGACUUCGGAGGGAUCCCGGCUCUGGGCCAGACCUGGGGCCAGGCCAUGGUGCGGGGGAGCCCCCUCUGCACUGGCCCCAGCGCCAGGAUAGGGCAGCCUCACACACAGACUCCAGAAAGUUCUGUGGCGCCAGCCUGCUCUUUCUACGAGCUACAUAGGGCUGUUGGGUGCCAUCCUGGCCAGCUGUGUCCUGCCCUCCUGCUGACCGAGGGCCUCACCACUGCCCCUGCCUCAGUUCUUUCUUCUCUAAGAAAGUUCUGCAGCAGCAGCGUCAGGACUCACCACUGCCCAGGACCUGGCAGGCCCAGGGAGAGCUUGGCUGGUAGAGGAGGUCCCCUCCACCCCGCAGACCUGCACCCAGAGACGGUGUCUCCCUGGGCACAAAGCUGCCCUGGUUGGCUCCCAGCUUCAGACUGGCUUUCCUGACUCAGGGCACUGCUGUUGGCACUGGCCAUCAGGGCCUCCUGGAGCAAUUCAGAGGGCGGGAGGGAGGCGGCCAUACCCAGCCUCAUCUUCGGACUCUGCAAGAGCCUGGCCUGGCCUCCACCGCAGACUGAGAGCUGUGGCUGUGCCCAGGAGCCACUGUCCUGCAGGCUCUGUGGGGCACCAGCUGUGUGACUGGGAACAAGCUGGCGUCUCUCUGCACACAGCCCUGCAACUGGUCGCGCUUCACACCUGUGACCCCUGCCCCGUGCCCACUUGCACAGACUGCUGACCGGCCUCCUCCUCCCCUCUCUCUCCUCCCACCUCCUCCUCCCCAGCCUCUCCACCACGACUUUCUGCAGGUGCUUCCUGAGGAGGGAGAAGCCAGAGGAAGGCUUGGCCCAGCCUCCCUGCCGUUCCCCUGCCUCUGCCUGGGGCUCCUCCUCCUGCUGGCCUUCCAGCCAAGCCCCCUCGCGCCCUGGUCUGAACAGUCCUCUUCCUUCUCUGCCGUCGUCCUUGAAUGAGGCUCUUCCACAGGGGACAAUGACCUCCACACUGCCAUUUAGGUGGUCACAUCAUUCCUUAGCAUCUCAGCCCCCCAGCUGAGCAGGUCUCCUCUUUCCUCCUCAAACAAUUCCUUCCCUGGUGUCUGGGACCCCGCCCUGCCCCCUGCCCCCUGCCCCACUGGUCCCUCCUAUCGCCGGGGCGACUCGGGGCUGCUCCUUCCUCUGCAUCCUGAGGUCCCACAGUCAUCUCCCUGGCCGGGUGAUGGGGACCACCCAGCCCUGCCUGCCCGUGGCCUUCCGACUUCCCUCCAGGGUCCACACAGACCGGGUGCCAAGCCUGGCUCUUGGGCCUCCAGACCCCCGCAGCCCACCUCCCGGGGCCCUGGCUUCCUCCCCUCCUCUCAGCCUCUGUACCCGGCCUCAGUCCUCAGGCUCCAGUGGCUGAAUGUGGGUUGUGGAGGGGGCAUCACAGUGAGUCAUGCUGGGGGCAGAGGCCCUUUAGGGAGCGGGAGGGCCAGGGAGGGAGAGGGCAUGGGGGUCAGCCAGGGUGGUGUGGCCCUGGAGAGUGGGAGGCUCCUGCCGGGGCUGGGGUCUGGGCCAGGUGACACAGGAGGGUGAGCGUAGGAGCUGUCCACAAGCCAUGGUGCUGAAGCCUUGGGAGCUGAUCUCCAGGGAGCCCCGGGGACCCUGCCUGUGCCCCACGUCUGAGCCCAACCAGACCUUGUUUUGCCCUCACAGAGUUACCUGGGUCAGGUGAGCAACAGCCCUGUGAAGGAGCCACUGUCCUCCCCAGGUGACAGGUGUGGACACAGCCUGGAGAAGGAAGCCGGCUCCUGGCCUCAGGGGAGUCAUCCCCGACCCGGGCUCAGGUGACAUCGCAGCACCCUUCGUGGGAGCACCCACUCAGGAGUGGCUGCAAACACAGGACUAGAACGGGAAAGCCACCUCCAGCCUGGCAGCCUUGGACAGUAACCAGGGACACGGCGGCACAAUGGCUGGUGGGUGCCAGCCUGGCAGCUGUGUCCUGCCCUCCUGCUGACCCGAGCGCCUCAGCACACGCCCUUCUGAAAUAACCCGAGCUCUCCUGUUUCCUCCCACCUAAUCCUGGCUUAGCCAUUUGGUGGUCGGAGGGUCGCUCUCCCUUCCCAGGGAAGGAGUCGGCAGGGUGCGGGUCUGCACCUGCGGGCUCCAGCUCAGGUGGGCUCACUGAAUGGGGCACACUCCUGGAUCUGAGUUCUUGCACACUCGUGUGCCCACGUAUGCCAGGGAGCAGGAGGGAUGGUGCAGGACUCCUCAGUCACGUAUCUGAAGGCAAGAUGCAGACAGCAAUAGAAGCUUCUCUUUUCCUGAAGAGACGGGCACUGUGAAGGCUCCUCUCUGUCCGACUGCAGGGUGUUUGCAUUGGCAGAACAAGGCCCGGGAGAGAAGGGACCUCACCAUCCCUCUGCCAGCUGAUGGUCCUCCCCCAGCCUCCUUUCUCUGUCCCCCUCGGCCCUGGCAUCUGGACUAAUUGUUGUGGUUCACAGGUAAGUGGCCUAGGAUCAGCCCAUCCUGUGACAUCAGGGCAGGGGAGGGCUGCAGCCACAGGUCCCUCUGGGAGAUGAAGAGAACCAGAUCAGACCUCUCCGUGAGCACCUGACCUCACGUGUCAGGAAGAUGGGGUUCAACCUAACCCCUCCACAGCCGCAGGGGGGUCUCAGGUCAACCUAUUCAACGGCUCCAGUUGCACGGCAAGGAACCUGGGGCUGUCUGGGGUCUGCAGGGAAGAGGGCUGCGGUCAGCCAUGAAGUUUGCCGAGGGGAGUGGGUGGAAGCGGUGGCACGAGCUCUGUUUUCAAGGCGGGGUGGACACCUUGGAUGUGGCUAUGAGGAGGCAGACCCUGUGACUGUGACGCCCCAACGGCUUGGCAGCCCCAGGGCCUUGACAGGCGCAGCUCCCACACCUGGAUGCCCUCCCUCCCUCCCCUCCUCACCCACCCUCGUCAGUGUCCAGCUCAGGGGGCCUCCCAUGAGCCACCCCGUCCCAGGCAGACAUCAGCCCCCUGGACUCUCUUCACUUGGUCUAGUGCAGGCCUGACCAUGGUCCUGCUGGCCAGGGACCCUGUUGGGAGGUGUUUGUGCCCAGUGCCCUCCCAGGAUUCUGGGCUCUGAGCUGGAGGGAUGAAUGGUCCUGAUGAUGUUCUCGGGCCCUCCUGCCCCACAGGUAGGAUGAGGUGUCCUGGGCCGGGGUGGAGACUGGCAGGAGGACCCCAGCCCAUGCCCAGCACAGGCCUGUGACUCCAGAGGGACAAAGGAGAGCUGGGUUCCUCCUGUCCCCAAGUCAGUCUCCCAGGACUGAUGCUGCGGAUCCCUGCCUGGCCCCGCCCUGGCCCCGCCCUGCCCCUGCCCAGCCCCUGCCAGGCCCUGCCCAGGCUCCACAGCCAUCCCAAUGCUGGAGGCACUGCCAUCAGGUUACAUAAGCUACUCUGCAUGCUCCUGAUUCACAGAGUACAACUCAAAACCCUCUCCAAAAAGUAGCCAGAGGGUCACCCUCAACCCUCCCUGCCUCUCCCGAGGAGCGGAGCAGACUCCAGGAGCACAGUGAUUGGCCACAUGGGGCCACCCUGUCACCUGCAAGCUCGGUGAGAGGUGUCUAGGGGCCCUGGGGUUGUCCAGGAGAGCCUGGCCUCUCGCUCCCCUGGCUGCACACCAGGAGGGCUGCGGCCAGCGAACACAGACGGCCGGCUGACUCCACGAUUUUUAAAACAAAUGUCAGACAAAGUGGAUUCCAGAGGAAAGAAUGUUAUUGGGGUGAAAAGAUGAAUCACGAUUAUGAAUCAUUUCACGAUGAUUUAAGGAUCAAUUCAAUAAGAAGACAAAACAAUUCUCAGUGUGUAUGCGGCUAGGAAGAGAGUGAGAAAAUAAAUACAGAGAAAACCCCAACAGAACUAGAUGGAGAGAGAGAGAGAAAAAAAACAUAAUAAUGGUCUGAGAUUUCAAAAUGCUUUCAAUGUGACAGAAGCAGAGACAGAAAGUAAAUGGGACAGAGAAGACACGAGAGAGGCUACCAACCAGCUAGACGGGUCGCACUACAGACACCCACCACCAGCUGCAGGAGGCACGGUCUUUUCAAGAGAGCAUUGAACAGUGCCUGCCUUCGCCCAUAUUCUGGGCUAUAAAACAGAUGCUGACUUUAAAACAAUAUAAAUCAAUAAGACCUGGUCCCUGACCGCAAUAUAAUUAAGUCAGAAAUCAACAACAGAAUGACAUCUGAAAACAUCUCAGUGUGUUUGGAAAUCCAAUAACAUAUUUCAAAAUAAGCCAUACAUUGAAGAAAAAAAGGAAAAUUAGAAGAAAUUUUUAACUGAAUAGAAAUUAAAAACACACCCUACCCAGAUUUGUGGACCGGUGCCAACACAGGGCUCACAGGGACACUGGAGCCUACAGAGAGCAAAGGGGAAAUCGAGAAAUCAGCAAGAGCCUUACAGUACACCGGGGUCCUCGGAGCUGGGGACAGACACCUUACAGCCAGAAACACAAGGAGACAUAGAGCAUGUGAAGAGCCCUGGGUGAACUGAAGAAAUGGGCAGCAGGCCUCCAUGCCUUCCCCUGGGUCUGGAUGCUACUGAACCCUUCAGGAAAAACUUGUGCCCAUUCUUCCCAAACUGCCAGGAAGCGGGAGGAGAGAACACACAUCGUGUUCCUCUAACACCAAAGUCAGGCAAAAUAUCACGAGGAAGGAGAACUAGGGCUCAGCACCUCUCAUUACAUAGAUGUAAGAAUUCCCUAAUACAGUCGUAGAGAAUAGGUCCCACCAGGAUGCAAAUAGGACGGCCCAGCACCACCCAGGGCGCUGUCCUCAGGAAUGCAGGAAUGCAAGGCUGGUUUAAUGUUCAGAUCUAUCUAUGUCACCUGCCCCAGUAACAGACGAUGCCAGAGAAACCACUUGAUCAUCUCAAAGACCAGAUCCAAAUCCAUACCUGACAGAGACUCUCGUGGGAAUUCAGCUUUCCCCGCCCUGAGGUGGUGUUCCAGCAGCACUAACUACUCACACCCACUUCUCCACGAGGAGGACUGGACCACUCCGCUGGACCGGGAGACCAGGUCCACCUCCUUCCUUCGUCAUCCUGCCACUGGCCCUGACUCUCUGCUCCGGCUCCUGGCCUGGCCAUCUCUUGGGCUGCCCCGGCCCCAGCUGGCCUCGGGUUACCCUCAGCAUCACGAUCCUGGCUCUUCUGCUGAGCCGACUGGUGACUUGUAGACGUUUCAGCCCCUUCUCUGGGCUGUAGGUUCUUUAUAGGGACUUAGUCACACAGGUCCCUGUAAUUACUUACUUGGCCAGGUAUGGACCCCACUGAACCAGGCCUACAAAAUACCUCUUGUCCUCUGAGGCCGUGGUCACACCCAGACCUGACACCUGGAAGGACUCCUCCUUGCAGACCCAGGGACACGGAGUCCAAGGAACCCAAUAGAGCCUGGUUCUCCAGGAGCCACAGCCCGUGGCCAGGGCAGGGGUGGGCCAGGGUGAAUCAAGGGCCCCAGUGGUCAAGCACUGGGGAGUCCAGGAAGACUGAAGCCAGAGUCCAGGGAGGACCAGCUCUCCUCUGGUGGGAGGACAGGGGUACCCUGGAAGGGUGGCCUUUGGUCUGAUCUGGAGCAGUGCUUGUGACGUUGGGUGACGGUGGGUGAAGCUGGCAGGCAGGAGGGAGCGGUAUGUGUCUUGGAGGAGGACUCAUGGUGGCCGCGAGGACUCCACUUCUCUACAGGGAGCUGGGGAGUGGAGCCCUGCAGGGAGCCAGCACUAAGCACAGGCCGUCCUGACUGUCUGUCGGGGGGCUGCAGUGUGCUUAGCAGGUCACCCGUGCACACUCACUGGGACUCCUGGAACACUCCCCUCGAGGGUGCCAAGAGGCGACCGUGAAAAAUACAUCUGCAUUUCAUGGUUUAGGAAAUUCUGGAUUAAACCAAAUUAAACAGUGUGUUUCUUCA